rnacentral:rRNA from 1 species
UACGUAGGGUCCGAGCGUUGUCCGGAAUUACUGGGCGUAAAGAGCUCGUAGGUGGUUUGUCGCGUUGUUCGUGAAAACUCACAGCUCAACUGUGGGCGUGCGGGCGAUACGGGCAGACUGGAGUACUGCAGGGGGAGACUGGAAUUCCUGGUGUAGCGGUGGAAUGCGUAGAUAUCGGGAGGAACACCAGUGGCGAAGGCGGUUACCUGGAGCUUUGCUGACGCUGAUGCGCGAAAGCGUGGGGGAGCGAUCCGG